AUGCAUAUGGGACACAAAAGUGGAAACACUUCAGGAGUGUCAAAGUCGUCAUCGGAUUGGUUGAAUACUACAGAAUUUCCGGGAGACGUGUGUGUCACGUUCUUUAACGUUCUGCCUGGAAACAAAGAUGCUGUGCCGCCAAAUCCCCUCACGAAAGAAGAAAGCCAUAGUGUUUACAACUGUGACGACAAGCACUUAUCAGGAUCAGCUAAACACUGGAGCUUCAAAGAUUUGUGAAUAAGGCUGCAUUUAAUUCUCAAGGAUAAAUGGUGGUGCCAUAGUGGUUGAAUGAGUGAAUGACCACGCAGGACACCUGGGAGUGGAGAAGACCCUGGGCUUGGCCCAUCAAAGUUUCUUUUGGCCAGGAUUGGCACAAAGAGUGGAUAAGUGGUGCCUUCAGUGUGUUCAAUGCAACUUGCAUAAGACUCCAGCCCAUAAAGUAAGUGCCCCUCUUGUAUCUAUACAAUCAGAGUACCCCCUUCAGAUGUUUCAGUUGAUUUUUUUGUCAUUGGAGACUGCAUGUAGUGGGAUGAGUAAUAUUUUAUUUAUGAUAAACCACUUCACUAGUUAUGCGGAUGCAGUGCCCACUGCGGAUUAAUGUUUUGCAAACACUUUAUACAGCCAUUUCAGGGGUUUCAUCAGUUGCAUUCCGACCAGGGUCCCAAUUUUGAAUCAAGAGACAUUAAACAGCUAUGCUCAUUGUAUAACAUCAGUAAGUCUCAUACGACUCCCUAUCACCCAGGAAAUGGACAAUGUGAACGUUUUAAUCGGACACUGUUGAGUAUGCUGGGUACUUUAAAGAGAUAGUUCACCCAAAAAUGAAAAUUAUCCCAUGAUGUACUUACCCUCAAGGCAUCCUAGGUGUAUAUGUGACUUUCUUCUUUCAGACGAAUCCAAUCGGAGUUAUAAUGUCCUGGCUCUUCCAAGCUUUAUAAUGGCAGUGGACGGAUGUUUCUGUUCAACAGUCCAAAAAAAAGUCCAAUAAAGCGCAUCCAUCUGUAAUUAAAAAAGUGCCU
ensembl:lncRNA